rnacentral:rRNA from 1 species
AGCGAACGCUGGCGGCAGGCUUAACACAUGCAAGUCGAGCGGGCACUUUCGGGUGUCAGCGGCGGACGGGUGAGUAACGCGUGGGAACGUGCCCUCUGGUUCGGAAUAACUCAGGGAAACUUGAGCUAAUACCGGAUACGCCCUUUUGGGGAAAGGCUUGCUGCCGGAGGAUCGGCCCGCGUCUGAUUAGCUAGUUGGUGAGGUAACGGCUCACCAAGGCGACGACCAGUAGCUGGUCUGAGAGGAUGAUCAGCCACACUGGGACUGAGACACGGCCCAGACUCCUACGGGAGGCAGCAGUGGGGAAUAUUGGACAAUGGGCGCAAGCCUGAUCCAGCCAUGCCGCGUGAGUGAUGAAGGCCUUAGGGUUGUAAAGCUCUUUUAUCCGGGACGAUAAUGACGGUACCGGAGGAAUAAGCCCAGGCUAACUUCGUG